AUUUCUUCUGUUUUCAUUUGUUCUAAGUGUUCCACAUGUUGUCUUUCAAAACCCCCAAAAUCUUUUUUUUUUUUUUUUUUUAAUCAACUCUCUAUUUUGCUUUAAUCUUAAGAUUUAUGUGGCUUUUGUAGCUUGCUUCAUUACCAAUGCGAUUUCUAAAGUUUUAGAUAGUUUCAUUGGAAUGUUUUCGUUAUUUAUUCCCAUCACAAACAUGUCUCUCAUUGCAGUCUGUAAAUACUCUCCAAAUAUGCAUGUACUUCUAAUUUCCCAAUGCUUUCAUAAACUUGCCUUGCUCCUUUUUUCAAUGCUAAAAAUGAAAUCUUUCUGUUUUUUGUUUUUUUUUAUUAGCUCAAUGUGGUUAUUAAUUCAGAGUACGUUUUGGAUGAUGGUUUAUCAAAUGAUAGUAAAUCUCUCAGUGUAUUUUAUCCUUUUGCACCUACUGCUCUCAGAAUAACAGCUACUCUGUUCCCCUCUUUAACCUAAUUCAGUACUGACGUGCUCGCUCUCGCAGUCAGUCAGUCAGUACGUGCUCGCUCUCGCAGUCAGUCAGUCAGUACGUGCUCGCUCUCGCAGUCAGUCAGUCAGUCAGUGCGUGCUCGCUCUCGCGGUCAGUCAGUCAGUCAGUGCGUGCUCGCUCUCGCAGUCAGUCAGUGCGUGCUCGCUCUCGCGGUCAGUCAGUCAGUACGUGCUCGCUCUCGCGGUCAGUCAGUCAGUCAGUACGUGCUCGCUCUCGCAGUCAGUCAGUCAGUACGUGCUCGCUCUCGCAGUCAGUCAGUCAGUACGUGCUCGCUCUCGCAGUCAGUCAGUCAGUGCGUGCUCGCUCUCGCAGUCAGUCAGUCAGUACGUGCUCGCUCUCGCGGUCAGUCAGUACGUGCUCGCUCUCGCAGUCAGUCAGUC